GACGAACGCUGGCGGCGUGCCUAACACAUGCAAGUCGAACGAAGUAAGCUUCUUCACCAAACAUUAAAGUACCACCUCAAGCGCAUUUGUGCAGAAUGGUUGAUAAUAAUGGAUAAAGGGUGGGGCAAAAAUAUUAAAUAAUAAAUGGAAAGCGUCAAAUGCGCUUCACGCUUAUUAUAGCUAGCCAACACAAACAAAAAUUUUAGUGUUUGGAGAAGCAGCUUGCUUAGUGGCGGACGGGUGAGUAACGCGUGAACAAUCUGCCCUGUACAAAGGAAUAGCCUCGGGAAACCGGGAUUAAAACCGUAUGACACUUUAGUAUCGCAUGAUAAGAAAGUCAAAUCGAUUAGAGGUAUGGGAUGAGUUCGCGUCUGAUUAGCUGGUUGGCGGGGUAACGGCCCGACCAAGGCGACGAUCAGUAGCCGGCCUGAGAGGGUGAACGGUCACACUGGAACUGAGACACGGUCCAGACUCCUACGGGAGGCAGCAGUGGGAAUAUUG
rnacentral:rRNA from 1 species